rnacentral:rRNA from 1 species
CAGCAGCCGCGGUAAUACGUAGGUCCCGAGCGUUGUCCGGAUUUAUUGGGCGUAAAGCGAGCGCAGGCGGUUAGAUAAGUCUGAAGUUAAAGGCUGUGGCUUAACCAUAGUACGCUUUGGAAACUGUUUAACUUGAGUGCAGAAGGGGAGAGUGGAAUUCCAUGUGUAGCGGUGAAAUGCGUAGAUAUAUGGAGGAACACCGGUGGCGAAAGCGGCUCUCUGGUCUGUAACUGACGCUGAGGCUCGAAAGCGUGGGGAGCAAACAGGAUUAGAUACCCGCGUAGUCCCUGUCUCUUAUACA